rnacentral:lncRNA from 1 species
GGAAGACUAAUGACCGAAGCUUCAAGACUUUGACAUGUGUGAAAACAUGAAAUGACCCUUGGCUCUUAUUGUUCUUGCUGGUGUGGUAUGUUCACGGCUGAAAAGAUGGUCAGAAGGGGAAAGGAGGAAGUGAGAAGAAAGAAACAGGGAAAUGACAGAGUGUUGCUCAGUUACCCAGGCUGGAGUGCAAUGGCAUGAUCUUGGCUCACUGCAGCCUCCACCUCCUGGGUUCAAGCGGUUCUCGUGCCUCAGUCUCCCAAGUAGCUGGGAUUACAGCAGGCUGAGGAAUUACCAAGGAGGCAGGAGGUGGAGCAAAACACACCAAGCCUGGUGCCAAUCAUUGACAAUAUUAUGAUCAAUGCUUGAGAUAUUUUGCAGACCCUGCAUGUGAUGGAUCAGCUGACACCAUCCAGAUCGGUAAACUGGUUCAUCUGAUCUUGUGCCCUCCACCCAGGAACUGACUCAGCGCAAGAAGACAGCUUCGACUCCUUGUGAUUUCAUCCCUAACCAAUCAGCACUCCUGGCUCACUGGCUUCCCCCAACCCACCAAAUUGUCCUUAAAAACUCUGCUCUCCAAACGCUGGGGGAGACUGAUUUGAGUAAUAAUAAAACCCUGGUCUCCUGCACAGUUGGCUCUGCGUGAAUUA